UACGGGGGGGGUAAGCGUUGUUCGGAAUUACUGGGCGUAAAGGGCUCGUAGGCGGUUUGUCGCGUCGGGAGUGAAAACACCGGGCUUAACUCGGUGCUUGCUUUCGAUACGGGCAGACUGGAGGUAUGCAGGGGAGAACGGAAUUCCUGGUGUAGCGGUGAAAUGCGCAGAUAUCAGGAGGAACACCGGUGGCGAAGGCGGUUCUCUGGGCAUUACCUGACGCUGAGGAGCGAAAGUGUGGGGAGCGAACAGG
rnacentral:rRNA from 1 species